rnacentral:rRNA from 1 species
AGAGUUUGAUCAUGGCUCAGAACGAACGCUGGCGGCGUGGAUAAGACAUGCAAGUCGAACGGGAAUUUUUUUGGUAGCUACCGAAAAAAUUUAGUGGCGAACGGGUGCGUAACACGUGGGCAAUCUGCCGAGAAGUGGGGGAUAGCUCGCCGAAAGGCGAAUUAAUACCGCAUGUGAUCAGGGGAGACAUCUUCCCGAAAUCAAAGGUGGCGCAAGCUACCGCUUUUUGAGGAGCCCGCGGCCUAUCNNCUUGUUGGUGAGGUAACGGCUCACCAAGGCGUUGACGGGUAGCUGGUCUGAGAGGACGACCAGUCACACUGGGACUGAGACANNNNCCAACACCUACGGGUGGCACAGCGAGAAUUUUUCUCAAUGGGGGAAACCCUGAAGGAGCGACGCCGCGUGGAGGAUGAAGGUCUUCGGGUUGUAAACUCCUGUCAUUUGGGAACAAGGCGCAGGUAUUAACUGUACCUGCGUUGAUAGUACCAGAAGAGGAAGAGACGGCUAACUCUGUGCCAGCAGCCGCGGUAAUACAGAGGUCUCAAGCGUUGUUCGGAUUCAUUGGGCGUAAAGGGUGCGUAGGUGGCGCGGUAAGUCGGGUGUGAAAUUUCGGAGCUUAACUCCGAAACUGCAUUCGAUACUGCCGUGCUUGAGGACUGGAGAGGAGACUGGAAUUUACGGUGUAGCAGUGAAAUGCGUAGAGAUCGUAAGGAAGACCAGUGGCGAAGGCGGGUCUCUGGACAGUUCCUGACACUGAGGCACGAAGGCCAGGGGAGCAAACGGGAUUAGAUACCCUAGUAGUCC